AUGGCGAGUAAAGAGAUGUUUGAAGAUACUGUGGAGGAGCAUGCCAUCAAUGAGGAAUAUAAAAUCUGGAAGAAGAAAACACCGUUUCUGCAUGGCCUGGUUAUGACCCAUGCUCUUCAGUGGCCCAGUCUUACCGUUCAGUGGCUUCCUGAAGGACUAAACCAGAAGGAAAGGAUUAUGCCCUUCAUUGGCUACUGCUGGGCACUCACUCAUACAUCUGAUGAGCAGAACCAUCUGGUGGUUGCUCGAGUUCAUAUUCCCAAUGAUGAUGCACAGUUUGAUGCUUCCCAUUGUGACAGUGACAAGGGAGAAUUCGGUGGCUUUGGUUCUGUAACAGGGAAAAAUGAAUGUGAAAUUAAAAUUAAUCAUGAAGGAGAAGUAAAUCAUGCUCGUUAUAUGCCACAGAAUCCUCACAUCAUUGCCACAAAAACACCAUCUUCUGAUGCUUUGGUUUUUGACUAUACAAAACACCCUGCAAAACCAGAUCCAAGUGGAGAAUGUAAUCCUGAUCUUAGAUUAAGAGGUCACCAAAAGGAAGGCUAUGGUCUUUCCUGGAAUUCUAAUUUGAGUGGGCAUCUCCUGAGUGCAUCUGAUGACCAUACUGUCUGCCUGUGGGAUAUAAAUGCAGGACCAAAGGAAGGCAAAACUGUGGAUGCUAAACCAAUCUUUACUGGCCACCCAGCUGUUGUAGAGGAUGUGGCCUGGCAUCUGCUGCAUGAGUCCUUGUUUGGAUCUGUUGCUGAUGAUCAGAAACUUAUGAUAUGGGACACCAGAUCCAAUACCACUUCUAAGCCAAGCCAUUUGGUGGAUGCACACACUGCUGAGGUCAACUGCCUCUCAUUCAAUCCCUACAGCGAGUUCAUUCUGGCAACUGGCUCUGCAGAUAAGACUCUAGCUUUAUGGGACCUGCGUAAUCUGAAACUAAAACACCACACCUUCGAAUCGCAUAAGGAUGAAAUUUUCCAGGUCCACAGGUCUCCACAUAAUGAAACUAUUCUGGCUUCAAGUGGUACUGAUCGCCACCUGAAUGUGUGGGAUUUAAGUAAAAUUGGAGAAGAACAAUCAGCAGAAGAUGCAGAAGAUGGGCCUCCAGAGUUCCUGUUUAUUCAUGGAGGGCACACUGCCAAGAUUUCUGACUUCAGCUGGAAUCCCAAUGAACCUUGGGUCAUUUGCUCUGUGUCUGAAGAUAACAUCAUGCAGAUAUGGCAGAUGGCUGAAAAUAUUUACAAUGAUGAAGAGUCAGAUGUCACAGCAUCGGAACUGGAGGGGCAAGGAUCUUAAACCCAAAGUAUGAGUUGUUUUUA